AAGGAUUUAAGUUAAAAAAACUUUUAACCUUCAAAGUUAACAAUAGAGAUGUCUAAGCCUUA
rnacentral:tRNA from 1 species